GGGCCGUUAGCUCAAUUGGUAGAGCAGCUGACUCUUAAUCAGGAGGUUGAAGGUUCGAUUCCUUCACGGCCCACCA
rnacentral:tRNA from 2 species